GAGACAGAAGCCAGAGCCUGAGAUGCUCCUCCCAAAUCGGUCAGCGUUAUGCUAGGGGCUCUGGCCUCCCCCUAUGCCACCCGACCCAGGAAGCAGCGAGCAGCACCCGCCUGGGGUCUGGCUGUCUCGCUGAACCUGGGGCCUGGGGUUGGCUGUUGGCAGUCGGUGGCACCAGGGCACCGCAGCUCCUGCUUCUGCCAUUCCCUGGCGGGCAUGAUAUUAACCUGGACAGAUGAGAGAGAGCCGACAGCAGCAAACAGACCUUUAUCCCAUCUCCUUGGUGAAAAUAACACCCAAACACCGAAGGGCACAUGAGCAUGAAGGAACCCCAAGAACUUCCUCCAUCCUUCCAUCAACCCAGCCAGUAAAUCUUCAUUGAACAUACUUCAUGCCAGGUACCACAGUAGGCCCUACAGACACUAAAAUGAAGAGGACCUGGCCCUGGCCUACUGCUUAUUUCUGACUUUGGGACCCAAAGUCUCUGAAUGGAAUCAAAUCCCCCAAUGCCUCCCUGAACAACAAUGUAUAGGAGGCAGUCAGGGACCUGCAGAAAGAUGAGAGCAAAGCAAUGGAAUAAACCUCAGAAUCCUC